GGGGAAUAUUGCACAAUGGGCGCAAGCCUGAUGCAGCGACGCCGCGUGAGGGAUGACGGCCUUCGGGUUGUAAACCUCUUUCGCUAGGGACGAAGCGUAAGUGACGGUACCUGGAGAAGAAGCACCGGCCAACUACGUGCCAGCAGCCGCGGUAAUACGUAGGGUGCGAGCGUUGUCCGGAAUUACUGGGCGUAAAGAGCUCGUAGGCGGUUUGUCGCGUCGUCUGUGAAAUUCUGCAACUCAAUUGCAGGCGUGCAGGCGAUACGGGCAGACUUGAGUACUACAGGGGAGACUGGAAUUCCUGGUGUAGCGGUGAAAUGCGCAGAUAUCAGGAGGAACACCGGUGGCGAAGGCGGGUCUCUGGGUAGUAACUGACGCUGAGGAGCGAAAGCGUGGGGAGCGAAC
rnacentral:rRNA from 1 species